AUACCGACGAUGGUCACAACGGAGAUGGGAACCAGGCGCUAGUAGAAAAUAGGUCUUUUGUUUGACCCUUUAGUCCCGCUUUGGUUUUGAACCGGGACUAAUGUGUCCAUUAGUCCCGGUUCCAGCGGCUGGAGGCCAAACGGCUUUAGUCCCGGUUCGUUAAGGGCCUUUAGUCCCAGUUCAUUAAGGGCCUUUAGUCCCGGUUUGAGCCAUGAACCGGGACUAAAGGGGUGGUGGAAACCAUUCGCCUGGUGCGAGCCCCUUUAGUCCCGGUUGGUGUCUCAAACCGGGACUUAAGGUCCAAACCGUUAGCAUCCCGCGUCGUUUCGCGCGAUGAAAAAGAGGAUAAGUGGUACAUACC
rnacentral:lncRNA from 1 species